rnacentral:lncRNA from 1 species
AUUUUGAUUUGUUUAACACUUUUUUGGUUGCUACAUGAUUCCAUAUGUGUUAUUUCAACGUUUUGAUGUCUUCACUAUUAUACUGCAAUGUAGAGAAAUGGUCAAAAUAAGAAAAACCCUUGAAUGAGUAGAUAUGUCCAAAGCUUUGACUGGUACUGUAUUUGCACAUCCGCUUGCAUGUGUGUGAAUGUGUGUUUCCUAUUUCUCUUCCCUUACUCGCUCUUUGGUUCUCUCUUUCCCCCUCCUCUCUUCUCGCUCCAUGGAAUGGCAGUGCAGGGGAAGAUGGACAUCCAGAGUGGCAUACAGAUGGCAAUGGAGACUCUCCCCUCCUUCCCCCAACAGUCGGGUACCCAUCAGCAGAGCGAGCCAGAGGACGGCCAGACAGAGGGGAGUGCCAGGCUUACCGCUGACAAUCACAGCAAGGACACCCAGCCAGCUGCUGGCCACCAAGAUGACAAAAUCUGUUUUCACAGACACUCCGAAACCAAGAAGCUACUACUACAAAAGACAUUGCGAUCUCUGGUGGACAACCAGAGACUUACACAACCAGAGACUUUACUCCCUGUAGAUGGAUUGAGUGUUUUCAACAAAGAGACAGCAAAGACAUACACACGUAAAUAUGUACAUUGCAAUUCUUUCGAAUGAGCGGUCGUUCAUGUGCAAAGUAUUUGCGUUUUAUUAGCAUAGUUAUCAGCUGUCUGUACGAUAGUGUAAUUUCUUUCUCUCCCUUUCCCGCUCUUUUGAAUCCGCCAUUUUGUGUAACAAGCCGUCAUAUCGUUUUAGUCCACUAGGGACUUUUCAUUGCAUUGUGUAGUAAUCAAUGUGUAUGCUAUCCUGUUUGUGUGUUUAUGUAAUUCUGUGAUUAUUUAGUUAGUUUGUAAAUAAA